AUGUCCCCCUCCGACAAUGCAACCGAACCCAGGACCACAAUGCGGAGCUGGAGCGGCCGACACCUCAUCGGCAUGACGAGGGGCCCUGUGCAAAAGGGCGAGGGCGCGCGGAUGGCUGCCAGUAGGUCAAUGCCUGAGUUGGUGAGGCUGGCCACCCACCGGUCAUGGACGUUGUUACUCCCGGCAAUGAUGCGGGUCAGGGGGCGGCGCGGUGGUGGGCGAGCCAUCGGAGGAGAGCAAGGAGCUGUGAGGAAAGUGAGAGGGAGUGGUGUGAAUGAAGGAGUGAGUGGUGACACAAGAGAGGAAGGGGAGUUAUGA
rnacentral:rRNA from 1 species